rnacentral:tRNA from 1 species
GCACUCUUAGCUCAACAGGAUAGAGCACCGGCCUUCUAAGCCGGGGGUUGGUUGGGUUCGAGUCCCCCAGGGUGUACCA